GAACAAUCCCAUCAGCAACCAGACUCAACAUCUGGACAUCACUCACCUCUGUCACACAUGUGCAGUUGUUCCUUCGGAAGGCCACACCCAUUGUCGUGAUUCUGUGCUCCGAUUGGUCAUCAUUGCACUGAUGGGCGUGGCUGCUGCGACUGCUUCUUCUGAUUAAUGACGUCAGAUCGACCAGAGGAUAAACAAAGAAAACAGAAAAGAUAAU